AUUGAACGCUGGCGGCAGGCCUAACACAUGCAAGUCGAGCGGAUGAAGGGAGCUUGCUCCUGGAUUCAGCGGCGGACGGGUGAGUAAUGCCUAGGAAUCUGCCUGGUAGUGGGGGAUAACGUCCGGAAACGGGCGCUAAUACCGCAUACGUCCUGAGGGAGAAAGUGGGGGAUCUUCGGACCUCACGCUAUCAGAUGAGCCUAGGUCGGAUUAGCUAGUUGGUGGGGUAAAGGCCUACCAAGGCGACGAUCCGUAACUGGUCUGAGAGGAUGAUCAGUCACACUGGAACUGAGACACGGUCCAGACUCCUACGGGAGGCAGCAGUGGGGAAUAUUGGAAGAUGGGCGAAAGCCUGAUCCAGCCAUGCCGCGUGUGUGAAGAAGGUCUUCGGAUUGUAAAGCACUUUAAGUUGGGAGGAAGGGCGGUAAGUUAAUACCUUGCUGUUUUGACGUUACCAACAGAAUAAGCACCGGCUAACUUCGU
rnacentral:rRNA from 1 species